rnacentral:rRNA from 1 species
CGACCUUGAAAUACCACCCUUUAAUGUUUGAUGUUCUAACGUGGACCCGUAAUCCGGGUUGCGGACAGUGUCUGGUGGGUAGUUUGACUGGGGCGGUCUCCUCCUAAAGAGUAACGGAGGAGCACGAAGGUUGGCUAAUCCUGGUCGGACAUCAGGAGGUUAGUGCAAUGGCAUAAGCCAGCUUGACUGCGAGCGUGACGGCGCGAGCAGGUGCGAAAGCAGGUCAUAGUGAUCCGGUGGUUCUGAAUGGAAGGGCCAUCGCUCAACGGAUAAAAGGUACUCCGGGGAUAACAGGCUGAUACCGCCCAAGAGUUCAUAUCGACGGCGGUGUUUGGCACCUCGAUGUCGGCUCAUCACAUCCUGGGGCUGAAGUAGGUCCCAAGGGUAUGGCUGUUCGCCAUUUAAAGUGGUACGCGAGCUGGGUUUAGAACGUCGUGAGACAGUUCGGUCCCUAUCUGCCGUGGGCGCUGGAGAACUGAGGGGGGCUGCUCCUAGUACGAGAGGACCGGAGUGGACGCAUCACUGGUGUUCGGGUUGUCAUGCCAAUGGCACUGCCCGGUAGCUAAAUGCGGAAGAGAUAAGUGCUGAAAGCAUCUAAGCACGAAACUUGCCCCGAGAUGAGUUCUCCCUGACUCCUUGAGAGUCCUGAAGGAACGUUGAAG